AGUCGUCUGAGCGACUCUAAAUAGCCUCUUAGGCUCAGAGCGUUAGGCCGCUAAGAGACC
rnacentral:ribozyme from 1 species